GCUCGGUGUCCAGGGCUUGGCUGUUUAAAGGGAAUUCUGCACGCAGAAUUUUACGAGCGUGCUGUUGUAAACAGAGACGCCCCACGGAGGGAGCCGCCUCGCAGGGGACGGCCGCCCCGGUGCUCCAGUAACAGAAGAGGGCAGUAAGUAUGAAAGAACCACACGACCCAAGGUCCAAGGGGGCAAGCAUGGAACCGGAACCUGCUUUUCUAUGAACUCUGUGAUCCCGAGGAAAAAAUGCUUAACCUCUCUGGGCCACUAUUUCCAGAACAUUCCCAUCACCCCCGACAGAAACUCUGUGCCUAUUAAGUGAUAACUCCCCGUUCCUCCCUCCUCCUCCAACCCCGCCGGUAACCUGGAAUCUGCUUUCUGUCUCUAGGACUCUGCUCACUCAGCGUUUCACAUAGAUGGAUCGUGUAAGAUUUGCCCUUUGUGCCUGACUUACUUCACUCAUCACGAUGUCGUCAAGGUUCGUCCAGCUUGGGGCAUGUGCCAGCACUUCGUUCCUUCCUGUGGACUCAGGUGUAAGUGUCUUCUCUAUGGACAGUGGCAAGG
rnacentral:lncRNA from 1 species